AUUGAACGCUGGCGGCAUGCUUUACACAUGCAAGUCGAACGGUAACAGGCCUUCGGGCGCUGACGAGUGGCGAACGGGUGAGUAAUGCAUCGGAACGUGCCCAGAGGUGGGGGAUAACGCAGCGAAAGCUGUGCUAAUACCGCAUAUUAUCUGAGGAUGAAAGCGGGGGACUAAGCAGCAAUGUUUGGCCUCGCGCCUUUGGAGCGGCCGAUGUCAGAUUAGGUAGUUGGUGGGGUAAAGGCCUACCAAGCCGACGAUCUGUAGCUGGUCUGAGAGGACGACCAGCCACACUGGGACUGAGACACGGCCCAGACUCCCUACGGGAGGCAGCAGUGGGGAAUUUUGGACAAUGGGCGCAAGCCUGAUCCAGCAAUGCCGCGUGCAGGAAGAAGGCCUUCGGUUGUAAACUGCUUUGUACGGAACGAAA
rnacentral:rRNA from 1 species